UACGGAGGGUGCAAGCGUUAAUCGGAAUUACUGGGCGUAAAGCGUGCGCAGGCGGUUUGUUAAGUCUGCUGUGAAAUCCCCGAGCCCAACUUGGGAAUUGCAGUGGAUACUGGCAAGCUGGAGUACGGUAGAGGAAGGUGGAAUUCCCGGUGUAGCAGUGAAAUGCGUAGAGAUCGGGAGGAACACCAGUGGCGAAGGCGGCCUUCUGGACCAGUACUGACGCUCAUGCACGAAAGCGUGGGGAGCAAACAGG
rnacentral:rRNA from 1 species